rnacentral:rRNA from 1 species
GGGCCCGCACAAGCGGUGGAGCAUGUGGCUUAAUUCGAUGCAACGCGAAGAACCUUACCUGGACUUGACAUGCCUGUCGUACCCUAUCGAAAGACUGGGGUCAGUUCGGCUGGACAGUGCACAGGUGCUGCAUGGCUGUCGUCAGCUCGUGCCGUGAGGUGUUGGGUUAAGUCCCGCAACGAGCGCAACCCUUGUCCUUAGUUGCCAUCAGGGAGUGAUCUGCUGGGCACUCUAAGGAGACUGCCGGUGACAAGCCGGAGGAAGGUGGGGAUGACGUCAAGUCAGUAUGGCCCUUAUGUCCAGGGCUGCACACGUGCUACAAUGGCGCAUACAGAGGGCGGCCAACUUGCGAAAGUGAGCGAAUCCCAAAAGUGCGUCGUAGUCCGGAUUGGAGUCUGCAACUCGACUCCAUG